rnacentral:rRNA from 1 species
AGUGAACGCUGGCGGUAGGCCUAAUACAUGCAAGUCGAACGGAAGCACGGUAAGCUUUCGCCUCUACGGGUGGCGGGGGGCGGGCGGGUGACGCAUACAUCGGCUUCUUCUUAUACGUGGGUGACAACGGGAGGCCACUUAUGAUACUACAGAAUAUGUUCUACCGGUGGAUGCAAGGGUUAUAGGGACCUUUCGCGUCUGUUUGAGAUGAAUCCGGGCCGGAUUAGCUAGUUGGUAAGGUAACGGCCUACCAAGGCGACGAUGCGUAGCUGAGCUGAGAGGGUGAUCGGCCACACUGGAACUGAGACACGGUCCAGACUCCUACGGGAGGCAGCAGUGGGGAAUAUUGGACAAUGGGCGCAAGCCUGACCGAGCCAUGCCGCGUGAGUGAAGAAGGCCUUCGGAUUGUAAAACCCUGUUAUUAGGAAAGAAAAACUGUGUAAGAAAACCCCCCCGUUCUGACGGUACCCAAACAAAAAGCACCGGCUAACUACGUG